AUUGAACGCUGGCGGCGUGCCUAAAACAUGCAAGUCGGACGCCCCGAGCAAUCGGGGAGUGGCGGACGGCUGAGUAACACGUGGGUGACCUGCCUUCUGGUGGGGGAUAACCCUUCGAAAGAGGGGCUAAGACCGCAUGAGGUCUCCUGGUCGGACAGGAGAGCAAAGCAGCGAUGCGCCGGAAGAGGGGCCCGCGGCCGAUUAGCUGGCUGGUGGGGUAACGGCCUACCAGGGCGACGAUCGGUAGCCGGUCUGAGAGGAUGAUCGGCCAGACUGGGACUGAGACACGGCCCAGACUCCUGCGGGAGGCAGCAGUUAGGAAUUUUGGGCAAUGGGCGCAAGCCUGACCCAGCAACGCCGCGUGGGCGACGAAGCCCUUCGGGGUGUAAAGCCCUUUUCCAGGGGACGAAGUUCUGACGGUACCCUGGGAAGAAGCCCCGGCUAACUACGUGCCAGCAGCCGCGGUAA
rnacentral:rRNA from 1 species